rnacentral:rRNA from 1 species
GACGAACGCUGGCGGCGUGCUUAACACAUGCAAGUCGAACGGAAAGGCCCUGCUUGCAGGGUGCUCGCGUGGCGAACGGGUGAGUAACACGUGGGUGUUCUGCCCCCUACUUUGGGAUAAGACUGGGAAACUGGGUCUAAUACUGGAUAGGACCAUGCUGUCGGCGGUGUGGUGGUUAGAUUGGUUGCGGUAGGGGAUGGGCUCGCGGGUCAUCAGCUUGUUGGUGGGGUAGUGGCUUAUACAGGCUUGGACGGGUAGCCGGCCUGAGAGGGUGACCGGCAAAAUGGGGAAUGAGAUACGGACCAGAGUCCUAGGGGAGGAAGCAGUGGGGAAUAUUGCAAAAUGGGCGGAAGACUGAUGCAGCAACGAAGCGUGAGGGAUGACGGACUUCGGGUUGUAAACCGCUUUCGCCUGUGAAGAAGAGUGAGUGAGGGUAAUGGGUAAAGAAGCAACGGCUAAAUACGUG